rnacentral:rRNA from 1 species
AAGAGAGUUUGAUCCUGGCUCAGGGUGAACGCUGGCGGCGCGCUUAAUGCAUGCAAGUCGAGCGUGUCCGUGGCUUCGGCCACAAUGGAAAAGCGGCAGACGGCUGAGUAACACGUGAGUAACUUAUCCUUUGGUGGGGUAUAGCCUCGAGAAAUUGGGGAUAAUCCCGCAUAAGACCCUCAAGCCCUGGUUUGAGGGUGAAAGGCUUCGGUCGCCAGAGGAGAGGCUCGCGACCUAUCAGGUAGUUGGUGAGGUAAUGGCUCACCAAGCCGAUGACGGGUAGCUGGUCUGAGAGGAUGACCAGCCAGAGGGGGACUGAGACACGGCCCCCACUCCUACGGGAGGCAGCAGCAGGG